CCGAACUCCGGAAGUAGUCGAGGAAGCGGAGGCGCCCGAGUCUCAUCGUCUGCUGGUGUCGCCUUGGGUUUGUCGCCGCCAUGGGGAAGCGACAACACCAGAAGGACAAGAUGUACAUCACCUGCGCUGAGUACACUCACUUCUAUGGUGGCAGGAAGCCAGAUAUCACACAGACAAGUUUUCGCCGCUUACCUUUUGACCACUGUAGUCUCUCCCUGCAGCCUUUUGUCUACCCAGUCUGCACCCUGAA